rnacentral:rRNA from 1 species
CCCUUAGAUGUUCUGGGCCGCACGCGCGCUACACUGUUCGACGCAGCGAGUCUUAACCUUGACCGAAAGGUUUGGGUAAUCUUCAGCAAAGUCGAACGUGAUGGGGAUCGAUCAUUGCAAUUAUUGAUCGUGAACGAGGAAUUCCUAGUAAGUGCAAGUCAUCAGCUUGCGCUGAUUACGUCCCUGCCCUUUGUACACACCGCCCGUCGCUACUACCGAUUGAAUGGUUUAGUGAGAUCUCUGGAUUGACGCUGGCUAGGGGGCGACCCUUGGCCAGACUGCUCGAGAAACUGCUCAAACUUGGUCAUUUAGAGGAAGUAAAAGUCGUAACA